AUAUUGGUCAAUGGGCGCAAGCCUGAACCAGCGACGUCGCGUGAAGGAAGACGGCCCUACGGGUUGUAAACUUCUUUUGUAAGGGACUAAAGUGUAGUACGUGUACUAUUUUGCAUGUACCUUACGAAUAAGGAUCGGCUAACUCCGUGCCAGCAGCCGCAGUAAUACGGAGGAUCCGAGCGUUAUCUGGAUUUAUUGGGUUUAUAGGGUGCGCAGGCGGGCGAUUAAUUCGGCGGUGAAAUUUUGCAGCUUAACUGUAAAAGUGCCUUCGAAACUGGUUUCCUUGAGUGUAGAUGAAGUAGGCGGAAUUUGUGGUGUAGCGGUGAAAUGCAUAGAUAUCACGAGGAACUCCGAUUGCGCAGGCAGCUUACUAAACUACUACUGACGCACAGGCACGAAGGCGUGGGGAUCAAACAGG
rnacentral:rRNA from 1 species